UCGUCACUGUCUUUAAUAAGAAAGGUUUUUGCGUAUGCUGAACAAUUGAGCCAAUAUUUCAUUACAUAAAUCCAAAUUUUCUAAAUCGGUUAACACGUAACAGGAUAACCGAUAAAACUUAUACGUAAGUGUUGAAACUCUUGAGUAAACUGUUUCAUAUUGUUGUUGUCCUGUCCUACUUACAGCAUUCUUGGUUGCAGUUUGUAAAUACAGCUGUUUCAUAAAUCACGCCUCUUUUCAUAUUUAUUUUGUUUUGUUUACUUACUGGUUCCCUGAAAUGAUAUCAAUGUUUCAUCUGAUCGAGACUUAUUUGGGGAUGUAACCAGUAAGAAUACACAUGGGCAGCGACCAAACUGAAUUUUCAGAAAGACUACAAUGUGAAUUCCUUGUAUACAUUUUCAUACGUGUAAUACCUAUAUCCAAACUCGGAGUAGUCCGAUCUAUAAGUAUCAUACAUGCAAGAACACACAUGAACAGAUUGGAGGGCAGUACACCAUUUUAGUAUAUCUUUAAAUUCUUAGAAUUUCGAGGCAUUAUUAAAAUUGGCCAUAGAAUUGUAUAUUCGUUACUUUGACACAAUAGUACUGCAUAUAAACUAAACAUUAUAUGAUAUAAUCGUUUACGAAACUCUAAAGGAAAUGUGCACCAUUAAGGCGUUCCUAUGGGUAAUUGUAUUGUCGAUAUUAACCGAAGUGCAACUAAUAUUGGAAGAAAAAAAGAGACAAUUUAAAAUACCACCAAAGCCAUAUACAUUUUUAUCAAUAUUUCCUGAAGAUUUAGAAAAUCUUGGGUCUUAAUAUGAUGACUCAGUAUAAAUUCAGUUUACAGUGUACAUUUUCCCCCAAAGCCC
rnacentral:lncRNA from 1 species